rnacentral:piRNA from 1 species
UCUUUUCGUGGUUUUGUUGCUCAAAAAGG